rnacentral:rRNA from 1 species
AACGCUAGCUACAGGCUUAACACAUGCAAGUCGCGGGGUAACGAGAGGGAAGCUUGCUUUCCUUGUCGACGGCCGGCGCACGGGUGAGUAACGCGUAUCCAACCUGCCCAUUACCACGGGAUACCCCGUCGAAAGGCGGCCUAAUACCGUAUGCAGUCGUCAGAUGACAUCAGAGGACGACGAAAGGAUUGGCGGUAAUGGAUGGGGAUGCGUCUGAUUAGGUAGUUGGAGGGGUAACGGCCCACCAAGCCAUCGAUCAGUAGGGGUUCUGAGAGGAAGGUCCCCCACAUUGGAACUGAGACACGGUCCAAACUCCUACGGGAGGCAGCAGUGAGGAAUAUUGGUCAAUGGGCGCGAGCCUGAACCAGCCAAGUAGCGUGAGGGAUGACGGCCCUAUGGGUUGUAAACCUCUUUUAUGCGGGAAUAAAAUGUUUGACGUGUCAUACAUUGUAGGUACCGCAAGAAUAAGGACCGGCUAAUUCCGUGCCAGCAGCCGCGGUAAUACGGAAGGUCCAGGCGUUAUCCGGAUUUAUUGGGUUUAAAGGGAGCGUAGGCCGCAAGUCAAGCGUGUUGUGAAAUGCAGGGGCUCAACCUCUGGAUUGCAGCGCGAACUGGCAUGCUUGAGUACGCACGAGGUAGGCGGAAUUUGUGGUGUAGCGGUGAAAUGCUUAGAUAUCACGAAGAACUCCGAUUG